rnacentral:rRNA from 1 species
AAACGCUUGAAGUCAGUCGCGUCGGCCGGGACUCAGCCUUGCAUUCGCUUGGUGUACUUUCCGGUCGACGGGCCAGCAUCAGUUUCGAUCGCGGGAUAAAGGCAGAGGGAAUGUGGCUCCUCCGGGAGUGUUAUAGCCCUUCGUCAGAUGUCGCGGUUGGGACUGAGGAACUCAGCACGCCUUUAUGGCCGGGGUUCGCCCACGUACGUGCUUAGGAUGCUGGCGUAAUGGCUUUAAACGA